CUGCAGCCGUCUCCGAAAAGGAUGCUUCAAGAGCACAGUUCAUUAUAAAUUGAUGCCCACGUGAACAUGCAUUCCCACUACCUGAGGGAACCCUCACCUCCAAGACCAGCUGGAGAGGAUCACCAGGACACCAGUGGGAUCCACAGAGUGGUGAUGUUCUCUUUAAUCUGUCUCUGUCACUCUCUUUCUGUCCAGUCCCCCUCUUUUCUUUCUCCUGCUUUUACUCUUUCUCAUAUUUACUAUCAAAUAAAAUCCAUAUUAUUGGCUUGGG